rnacentral:rRNA from 1 species
GAUGAACGCUAGCGGCAGGCCUAAUACAUGCAAGUCGAGGGGUAUGGGUUGCUUGCAACCCAGAGACCGGCGCACGGGUGCGUAACGCGUAUGCAAUCUACCUUAAUCAGGGGGAUAGCCCGGAGAAAUCCGGAUUAACACCGCAUAACAUUGAGUUGUGGCAUCACAGUUCAAUCAAAUAUUUAUAGGAUUAAGAUGAGCAUGCGUGACAUUAGUUAGUUGGUGAGGUAACGGCUCACCAAGACCACGAUGUCUAGGGGAUCUGAGAGGAUGACCCCCCACACUGGUACUGAGACACGGAGCAGACUCCUACGGGAGGAAGCAGUAAGGAAUAUUGGUCAAUGGGCGCAAGCCUGAACCAGCCAUGCCGCGUGCAGGAAGACGGCCCUAUGGGUUGUAAACUGCUUUUGUACCGGAAUAAACCUUCUCUUGCGAGAGAAGCUGAACGUACGGUAAGAAUAAGGAUCGGCUAACUCCGUG